rnacentral:tRNA from 1 species
GGCCCGUUCGUCUAGUGGUUAGGACACCAGGUUUUCAUCCUGGUAACAGGGGUCCGAUUCCCCUACGGGCUACGA